rnacentral:rRNA from 1 species
UACGUAGGGUGCGAGCGUUGUCCGGAAUUAUUGGGCGUAAAGAGCUCGUAGGCGGCUUGUCGCGUCGGAUGUGAAAGCCCGGGGCUUAACUCCGGGUCUGCAUUCGAUACGGGCAGGCUAGAGUGUGGUAGGGGAGAUCGGAAUUCCUGAUGUAGCGGUGAAAUGCGCAGAUAUCAGGAGGAACACCGGUGGCGAAGGCGGAUCUCUGGGCCAUUACUGACGCUGAGGAGCGAAAGCGUGGGGAGCAAACAGG